rnacentral:lncRNA from 1 species
UUAGAGUACAGCAUAAGUUGUUUAUAAGUCAGUAGAAAACCAAACGUUUUCACAUUUGAAAACUAAUGUGUCCAAGCAGUACAUAACCAUGCCAGAGUCAUGCAUGGACGUGUGAGUAUCUCCCUUUUAGAGAUGUUUUGCCAGCUGGGAGGUGGACAUUUUUAGGCAAGUGACAUUUCUCAUGUUCUUUUCUUGUUUGUAAGCUACACCCUCUCGGUUUUCUCUGCUCUGCCAACACUAGUGGAAUAUGAUCACAUCCCAGGGAUCAGUGUCAUUUAGGGAUGUGACUAUGGGCUUCACUCAAGAGGAGUGGCAUCAUCUGGACCCUGCUCAGAGGACCCUGUAGAGGAAUGUGAUGCUGGAGAACUACAGCCACCUUGUCUCAGUAGGGUAUUGCAUUCCUAAACCAGAAGUGAUCCUCAAAUUGGAGACAGGCAAGGAGCCAUGGAUAUUAGAGGAAAAAUUUCGAAGCCAGAGUCAUCUGGGUGAGUUAGUGCCAGAUGGAAUUUAAA